CUCUCCCAAAUCCCACGACUACCAGUAUAAUCUUCCUCUGCUGCUUCUGGGAAAAUUGUUUCUUCAUCUGAGGUUCACUGCCCUCUCAUACGCUCUUCUAAACCGGGACCUCCAUAAUGUGUCCUUUCCGAAGAUGCCACCUGACCUGCUGAGCAUUUCUGUUAUUUCGAGAUGGUGUGCGACAUUUUCAGAUAGGGGCACUCCCCAGGUCUGCAGCCUAUGCCUCUCUCAGCGGCAAAUGACACAGGUGCACUUUUAGUUAUCAAGUGAGUGACCCAAGCUGGCUGAUAAGUGGUUUCAGAUACCAUGGAGACUUCCGUUGGAGGGCAAGAUAGAUCAUCCGCUUGGCAUUUCUGACUGGACAACUGCAAAUGCUCCAGUGUUGCCUUCUGUGCUUGGCAUUGUAGAUGUUCAUAGAACCUACUUUAGUUAGCUAUUUAAUGUUCCACUAUAAUUCACAACUAAAUGUAGCAGGAUUUCAAGGCUUUAGUCUUACUUAUUGGUUGUGGGAAUCACUUAGCUCUGACUGUUGCUUCUGCUCUUUAGCGUGAAUAAAGUCCAGUACUGGCACUACAUCUGGUUGGCACCUCAGUUUUAGUUAUACCUGCUGCUGCUCCUGGUAAGCACU